CGUGGCCAAGUGGUCGAGGCACCAGGCUGAUAACCUGAUGGUCCCAGGUCCGAGCCU
rnacentral:tRNA from 1 species